rnacentral:rRNA from 1 species
GUGGCAGCCGCCGCGGUAAUACGGGGGGUGCAAGCGUUGUUCGGAAUUAUUUGGCGUAAAGAGCGUGUAGGCGGCUGGAUAAGUCAGAUGUGAAAGCCCUGGGCUUAACUCAGGAAGUGCAUUUGAAACUGUUCAGCUGGAGUAAGGGAGAGGAAAGUGGAAUUCCUGGUGUAGAGGUGAAAUUCGUAGAUAUCAGGAGGGACACCGGUGGCGAAGGCGACUUUCUGGCCCUAUACUGACGCUGAGACGCGAGAGCGUGGGUAGCAAACAGGAUUAGAUACCCUGGUAGUCCACGCCGUAA